CCUACGGGAGGCUGCCCACAAGUGUCGUGUUCACUGAAGGAGAACUCAACCAGUUUGUCUUAAAAAUUGCCCAGAAAGCAAACAAGCAGGUCUCGCUCUCGAACCCCAUGGUCGAUGCCACCCUGCCGGACGGUGCCCGUAUCCAGAUCACCUACAGCGAUGUCGUCUCCACGAAAGGCAGCUCAUUUACCAUCAGGAAGUUCCGGGAAGAGCCGAUGACUCCUCUGGCUCUCAUCAGCCUCAGGACCUUCGAUUCAGAGAUCCUCGCCUUCCUCUGGCUGGCCAUCGAGCACCACAAAAGCCUGAGCAUCGCAGGCGGUACGGCAAGCGGCAAGACCUCGACCAUGAACGCGGUCUCGCUCUUCAUCCCGCAGAAUGCAAAGAUCGUAUCCCUGGAGGAUACCCUUGUAGUC
rnacentral:rRNA from 1 species